CCAAUAGCGUAUAUUAAAGUUGUUGCAGUUAAAAAGCUCGUAGUUGAAUUUCGGGGUCAGCAUGUUGGUCAUGCCACUGGUAUGCACUGGCUUUACUGAUUCCUCCUUCUUGAAGAACUGUAAUGCUAUUAAUUUAGUGUUGCGGGGAAACUGGACUGUUACUUUGAAAAAAUUAGAGUGUUUAAAGCAGGCUAACGCCUGAAUACAUUAGCAUGGAAUAAUGAAAUAGGACGUUUGUCCUAUUUUGUUGGUUUCUAGGAUUGACGUAAUGAUUAAUAGGGAUAGUUGGGGGCAUUAGUAUUCAAUUGUCAGAGGUGAAAUUCUUGGAUUUAUUGAAGACUAACUACUGCGAAAGCAUUUGCCAAGGAUGUUUUCAUUAAUCAAGAACGAAAGUUAGGGGAUCGAAGACGAUCAGAUACCGUCGUAGUCUUAACCAUAAACUAUGCCGACUAGGGAUCGGAUGAUGUUAAUUUUUUAAUGACUCAUUCGGCGCCUUACG
rnacentral:rRNA from 1 species